rnacentral:rRNA from 1 species
UACGUAGGGUGCAAGCGUUGUCCGGAAUUAUUGGGCGUAAAGAGCUCGUAGGCGGUUUGUCGCGUCUGCUGUGAAAACUCGGGGCUUAACCCCGGGCCUGCAGUGGGUACGGGCAGACUAGAGUGCGGUAGGGGAGACUGGAAUUCCUGGUGUAGCGGUGAAAUGCGCAGAGUAUCAGGAGGAACACCGGUGGCGAAGGCGGGUCUCUGGGCCGAUACUGACGCUGAGGAGCGAAAGCGUGGGGAGCGAACAGG